rnacentral:lncRNA from 1 species
AUUAAAGAAUGUGGGGCCCAUGUGAUCGCAAAGAAGUUAAAUUCAUUUGAAGAGUCGGCAAUGGGAAGAGCUACAGUGAUGCCUUCACCAUCGCUGUAUCAUCUGCUUCCUCAUCCCCAUUGUGGUUCAAUUACAGCAUCUACACCUAAGCAAUGGAGUAAUUAUUUAUUUGCGAAGCUGCAAGAAUAUAACCUCAGUUUAACAUUUCAUGGUAAGAACAAAUAUUUCCUUUAGUUAUUUUUAUUCUAUUAUAUUUAAUUUAUGAGAUUAAAUAUUAUCUUUAAUUAUUUCAUUAUUAUUAUUUAAUCUAAAACAUUAAAUAUCAUCUUUAAUUAAAAAAUAUAUAUAUAUUUAAGGCUUUUUGGUAAGAAUACAUAUUUCCUUUAGUUAUUUCUAUUUAAUUUAAGAGAUUAAAUAUCAUCUUUAAUUGUUACAAUAUUUUUCUUAUUUAAUCUAAAAUUUUAAAUAUUUUCUUUAACAAUAUUUUUUAUUAAAUAUUUAGAGUCUACUUGGUUUUAUUUUUUUUCUUGAUUUUAUGAUAAUAUUUUUCUUAUUUAGUAUAAAAAAUAAAUAUUAUCUUUAAUAAUUAGAUCUAUCGAAUAUCACUUAAAAAAUAAAUUAUAACUUUAAUAAUUAUUUUUUGAAAAACAAAAAGCCAACAAUCACUAACAUAUUUUAUUAAAAUCACUUUAGUUUAUUUAGAAAAUAUUGAAAAUUGAUUAUUUUUUUUACAUUAAAAUAAAAAAAUUAAAAAAUGUUUUUAUAUUUUAUUUCAAAGUCGAUAUUUUAAAACAAAAAUGAAAAAGAUGUGAUAUUAACCUUUUUUAUUAUAAAGUAAGUUUUUUAAUUAAAAGUGAUGAGAAUUUGUUCGUAAUAACAAAAUGCAUGUUUAAUUUUCUUUUCAAACUUGGAAUAUAUUUCUAUUGAAUUUGAUGGUUUUUUUAUCUUAAAACACUUGCCAGCAAUCUUGUUUUUUCAAUGCUGCCAUUUAGCAAGUGGAGUACUGUAGCUUUUCCACAUACAUUGAAUAAUAACAGUUUGAAUAAAUAACAAGAAAAUAGAAAUUAGUUUUAUUAAUUUGAACGGUACAUCAUUCAUCGAAUAAAUUACAAAAAAGUAUUAUUGAGAUACUAUUUUUUUCAGUUUCUAUUGCACCAAAAUAAACACAUAUAUUUGUCACAUAUAUUAAUUAAUAUCAAAAAUCUCUGUAUUCCUUGAAAUCAAUAUGUAUACAAGUAAUAAUCAUUAUUAUUUUAUUUUAUUUUAAAAAAUAAAUAUCAUAUUAAAUAAUAUUUUUUAUUUUUCUUAUUUAAUUUAAAAAAUUAAAUAUUAUCUUUAAUAAUAUUUUUUAUUAAAUAUUUAAAGUCUGAUUGGUUUUAUUCUUUAUUUCUUGAUUUUAUGAUAAUAUAUUUAUACAGGCAAUGUGCAACGGUCGUCACCCGUAACGUAUUGCUUCAUUUCGUGGUGAGAUGCCAAAUUGGAUGAGCUACGGUGGAGAAGGAUGCUCCUUGUCAUUCCAUAUACCUCCAGUCUUCCAAGGCUUAGUUGUUUGGUUUGUCUAUCCACUUGAGAAGGAUUGUCAUAACCUAUUUUUAGGUUAUUUUUCAAUAUAUAUAUUUUUUUUUCUUCAAAAAAAUUACAAAAAAAAUCUAAAAAUAUUAUAAAAAAUAUAACAGUAAAAAGAGGAUGUCAGAACGCUCAGAAAAUAGUUAAAAUUUGGUUGAGGAGGUUUAAAAAUAUAAAAAUUAAAAUUUGGUAGUAUUUUAUUAACUGAUGAUAGCCCUGUUGACAAAGAAAAUUCAAUUUGAGAAAAAAAAAGUCUAAAAUCAGAUGUUGAGGGACUCAAUUAAAUUAUAUUGAAAGUUUAAUUGAAUUUAUGGAGGGUUUGAUUGUAAGAAAAAUUGAUUUUGGAGUUAAUUUGGGCUUUAAUUGGAAGAAAUUAAAGUUCUGGGGUCAGAUUAUAUUUUUUUUUAGAGUUGAUUUGGUCAAAUUGGGGGCUUAAUUGCAUAAAUAUUAAAGUUUGAUGGCCAAUCGGGGACUUAAUUGAAGAAAUCUGAGACCAAGGACCAAAAUGCAAAACGCGCGCAAAUUGAAGGAUUGAAUUGAAAUCUAGCGCUUUGGCUCCAAUUUUCAUUUAAAUGAAACAGUGCGUUUUAAGCAAAACGACGUCGUUUCAUGCACUUUCCAAAAAAAAAAAAGAGGACGAAACGGUGCCGUUUUGAGGCGGCACUGUUUCUUCUUCUUCUUCCCCUGGACAUGCAGCAGGGGAAGAGGCGUUUUUGUUUUCUUCUCUUUGUUUCUUCCUCUCCCUCCCCAUGUGCUCUGUUACAACCAAAACCGGUCGCCACUUGCCUCAUGAUGAGAUGCCAAAGCAGUCGUGCCCCGCAAGCGACGCCUCCAUUGGCCACCUCUGUCGGCGCCGUGACAGAGCAGGAGACGUGCGACGCAUGCAUGGGCAACGAUGGGACGGGGCAGGGUCGACCCCGCUCCCCUUGCCCCUAUAAAUAGUGACCCGAAAGGAGAAAAAAAGGAACACGGGAGAAAACAGGGAGGGAAACCGAGAGAGAGAAAUCGAUAGUGUUGAGAGAGAAAUGACUGAAACAGUAGAAACCAAAAAAACCGGGGAUAUCGAUAGGGAGACCGAGAGAGACAGACGGGGAGAAGGAAGAAAAAGGACAAAAGAGGUAAACCGAUGGGGAAGAAGACACUGACUGGUGUCUCUACACAGCGGAGAAGAAGCGCCGCUGCUGGCAUUGGGCUUCACAGUCACCGCCACCGCAACACCACCGAGAACGUUCACCAGCAUCACCGUCAGCUCAGCCAUCCGAGAUCACCACCUCAGGUAAAUUCUCUUCCCCUCACGCCGAUAAUUAUUCAUCUUCUUGCUUGUAGAACGUGCACUGUGCACGUUCUGCAUGCAAGAAGAAAUAAUUAGUCGGUUACCGUGCAUGCGCACAGUAACCGGCUAAUUAAUUAACUAGUUACUGUGCUCAUGCAUAGUAACUAGUCAUUGGUUUCUUCUUCUGCGAGUUGGAACAUCAGCCCAGCCCACGCGACUGGGCUGAGUCCAACCCCCUUUUUUUUAUGCGGGCUGGAACAUCAGCCCAGCCCACGCGGCUGGGCUGAGUCCAGCCCUGUUAACUGCGGCCUGGAACAUCAACCCAGCCCAUGCAGCUGGGCUGAGUCCAGCCUUGUUGCUGGGCCAAUACAGGCCCAACCCAGUUCAUUUCAUUUUUUCUUUUUUCCUUUUUGUUUUGUGUUUUAUAUAUAUAUAUUGUGAUUUUCCCACGGAUUUUUCUACGUCAUUUUAACUAAUAUUGGUCUAUAUUUUUUACUCGGUUUUCAAAAAAAAAAACUUUUGCUUUCAUGCAUACGGCCAAGUCUCUCAAAGCUAAAAAAUCAUAUUGUAUUUUUAUACAACAAAGAAAACUAAAAAAAUAUAUAUUAUUUUAGCAUGCAUUUUAGCUUUAAUAACCAGUUUAUUAAAGUCAUGAUAACUUGGCCAAUAUUUCAAAAAAUCAAAAAAAAUAUUUUGUUUUGUUUUAAUGUCUGGGAUUACGAAUUUAUACGUAAAACGUAUUCCCGAUAUUAAAAAGGUAGUUCUUUUAUAGACAUUAGGCCGGUUAGAUUUUUACCCCAUAAGAUAAGAACCUCCUUACUGAGGAGGGCUUUUCUUGAACCCUAGACAGACCAACAUGAUAAGACCUUAGAUUUUUUAUUAGACAAUAAAACAAUGCAGCUUACCUUAGGUAGGGUGUAUUUGAGGUGCUAAUACCUUCCCUUUGCGCAACCAGUCUCCGUACCCGAUCUCUAAGACCAGUUAGGGUUCCUAGUGAUCAGAAUACUAGGUGGCGACUCUCAUUCCAUUUUUUCACCGCUAAGAGACAAAGAAUUCCUUGUUUUACCAUAUUUUCCAGAAUAGAUAGACAUACCACAUUUGAUGAUGAGGGUGGUGGAUGAUCGCCGCACACGUGCGAUAGAAUGGUGACUCCACUGGGGACCCAUCAAAUCAAUCAACAGAAAAAAAAAUCACCAAGCCGAUGCCGCGCGGGUGACAUGCGACAAGGAUGAUCAUUAUUACUCACGGUCUGGCACUAUUAUUAUUAUUAUUAUUAUUAUUAUUAUUAUAAGAAAUAAAAGCAAUGGUAUUCAAUUGAUUAAAGAUAAACGAAUAGUAGGACCUUUCCUACCAAAAACUGCGGGAUGGAUAAGAUACAUAAGUAGAAGUGAAAUGGAAAAUGGAAGAUUACUGUGGAGAUGACGAAUUGGAACUAUACGUAUAUUCAGAGCCAAGAGGAGAUACAGUGCGCAUCAUUAAAAAAUGUGGGGUUCAUGUGAUCGCAGGGAAGUUAGAUUCAUUUGAAGAGUCGGAAGUGGAAAGAGAUAUAAUGAUGCCUUCACCACCGUUGUAUCAUCUGCUUCCUCAUCUCCAUUGUGGUUCAAUUACAGCGUCUACACCUAAGCAAUGGAGUGACUAUUUAUUUGCGAAGCUGAGUAAAUAUAACCUCAGUUGAACGCUUCAUGGUAAGAACAAAUAUUUCAUUUAGUUAUUUCUAUUUUAUUCUAUUUAAUUUAAGAGAUUAAAUAUUACCUUUAAUUAUUUCAUUAUUAUUAUUUAAUCUAAGAAAUUAAAUAUCAUCUUUAAUAAAAAAAAUUAUUAAAUAUUUAAGGCUUUUUGCUAAGAAUACAUGUUUCCUUCAGUUAUUUCUAUUUUAUUCUAUUUAAUUUAAGAUAUUAAAUAUAAUCUUUAAUUAUUUUAUUUUUCUUAUUUAAUUAAUCUAAAAAAUUAAAUAUGUUCUUUAAUAAUAUUUUUUAAAAAAUAUUUAGAGUCUGAUUGGUUUUAUUUUUUAUUUCUUGAUUUUAUAAUAAUAUUUUUCUUAUUUAAUUUAAAAAAUAAAUAUUAUCUUUAAUAAUUAGAUCUAUCAAAUAUCACGUAAUUAAUUAUAUCAUUAUUUUAUUGGUAGCAACUUAGGAGUCUUUUAAGCCAAAAGAAUAAUAGCUAGGAAGAGCUAAAAUUAGCAAGGAAUAUUUAGAGUCUGUUUGAUUUUAUUGUUUUUCUUUGAUUUCUUAAUAAAAAAAAUCAAAUUCUUGAAAACAAAAAUUGAAAACUUAUACGUUUUGAUUUUGAUUUUAUUUUUGAAAAUGAAAAGCCACCAAUCAAUAGCAUAAUCUAUUAAAAUCACUUUGUUUUAUUUAGAAAAUAUUGAAAACUGAUUUUUUUUACAUUAAAAUAAAAAAUUGAACAAUAUUUUUAUAUUUUAUUUCAAAUUUGAUAUUUUAAAACAAAAAUGAAAACGAUGUGAUAUUAACCUUUUUUUUAUUAUAAAGUAAGUUUCUUAAUUAAAAGUGAAGGUGAUUUGUUUGUAAUAACAAAAUGCAUAUACAAUCAUGCAAAAGUUGUAUUUAAUCAACUCUGCUAUUGAAUUUAAUGGUUUUUUAGGGAACAAAUGAUAUGGAUGAAUGUGAGAGCACAAGAUCAUUUUACAAAGAGAUUGAUUGGUACUUAAAAAUAUAUUUUUAUUAAGGUUUUAUAUCAUCAUAUUGCAUUUAAAGUAUAAUUAAAUUCUCUAAUUUAAGCAUAUUUUAUAAUAACAAGUCUGAUAACAUAAAAUAUAUUUAAUUUAUGGUAAAUGCUCAUUUUGAAUGCAGGCAUAUCUCACAAUUUAAAGGAUUGAUUGAUGUGUUUAACUAUUAAAAGUGAAAAGACAAAAAGAAGGCUAAGCUUAAAGAAGAAAUGUUGGUUCAAUUCAAACUGGAAUAUCAUUAUGUUAUUGAAUCAUAACUAUAGCUAUAGAACAUGGAUUUAGGUUUGGUUUAUAUGGAUGGAAAGCUAAGACAUAGGCCUAAAACUUUCAUGAAGAGUUCAAGAUUCAAAACGGCCCUUUUCAAGUUCAAAUUAUAGCAACAAAAGAGAAGUCGAAAUAUGACUUGUAACCUAGACACUGUUCAGUGUUCAGCCCAUAUCUCGAGUUCUAGAAGUUCAAAUAAUCUCAUUCUUGUUUUGUUGGAAAACUGAGACAAAUGCCCAGAAGUUUCAUGAAGACUAUCUGUUCAAAUUUUGAUGUUAGCAUGUUGUGUUCAGACAAGAAGAUAAUGGUUGUCACCAAGUCAAUAGGUGGCCACCCACUUAAUAAUUAGUCAUUAAAUCAAUAGUUCUGAAUUUUGGACUCUAAAAGAAGGCAUUUGCCAUACAUUUAGACAUCUUGGUGUUCAGAUCAAGAUCUUGCUCUCACUCUCUCUAUUUGUAUUUUGUAAUGUUCAAGUUUUAUUUUAUGUUAUAUUAAUCUCUUAUUUAUGCUUUUCAUUUCUUUUACUAUACUUAGUUAACUUAUAUCAUGUUUAUGUUAUUAUGUUGUUUAUUUAUGUUUUUCUUCUUCAUGAUGUUUAUCUAAGUUAAUUUUGUCAAGGUGAAAAGGGUACACUAAUGGUGUAAGAAUAAGUAUAAUACAAACUCCACAUAGACUUUAAUGUUUAAUACUAACAUGUUUUGUAUUUGUUAUCUUACUCACUCUUUAUACCUUACUUGUUAAAUGGUUAAUCUAAAUUUAUGUUGUACAACCCUUGGCAUAACAAAUACUUGACACUUUCAUAACCUACUGUAUGGUAUAAUCAACACUUGUGCUAUGAAAGGAACUUGAUUUAUUGUUAACAUAAAUUAUCAUCAUGAAUACCUGACCACAUUUACAAGUAUUGGCAUUACUCAAAUAAGAUAAUUAAUAUAAUCAUGUAUGUGGUUUCUAGUUGAGUAAUAAAAAGAGUUUAUACUAUACUUAUUUGAAAUACCUCUAACUUUAACAAUUGUUUUAUCCUUGUUUAAUCCUUACAUCAAUAUCACAUUUCAAAAGUUCUCUUCAACUCCUUUUUAAUUGUUGUUUAUAAUUUUAUAUAAUUCAUCUCCCUGUGUUUCAACCCCGGUCUUGCCGGGUUAUUUAUUACUUUGACACUCCUGCACUUGAUAUAAGACAUCAAUCUCUUGAUCGUGUUAGAGAUGCUUGAAGUUACUCUUUAUUGGUAUGGUAGUUGUUUCUAACGAGUUGAUAAGUAUUUGUUAGCUUGAAGAUUAUUUUCCAAACUUGGAAGUUAUAUUGAAUGCUUUUUGAAAUCUUUUCCAUCCGAUUUGAAAUUGGACAACCUAAUUGUUAUUAUCCAUUAUGUAAUUUAUAUUUUCAAGUUUCAACUUUUGAUGAAUAUUGUAUUGAAUGCUCUUUGAAAUCUUUUCCAUCCGAUUUGAAAUUGAAAAACCUAGUUGUUAUUAUCCAUGACGUAAUUUAUAUUUUCAAGUUACAACUUUUGAUGAAUAUUGUUUCCUUUUUUUCUCACUUCUUGGAAGUAUUCUCAAAAAGAUGAAAAUCCUCGAUCUUAGUUAUAAAUAAAUUGGUUUUCUAGGAAGAGAUUAUUAGGUGGGAUAUAUUAUUUGAGUUGGUUCUUCAUCAUUUAAUGUUAUGAUUUAAGAUAAUUGAUGAAAACUACCAAUACACAAGAAUGUUUAGAAAGCAUCUUUAAUUGGUCUAAUAAGUAAAGUCUUGUUAGUUUUGGCCAUAAGCUAUGUAUUAUUGCUUGUUUUUUACUAUUUUUUUACCUUUUUUGUUUUUUGUAUAUACAACUUUUGUUUUUCUUGCGAGUUUCUCAUUAGCUUUAUGGCACUAACAUCAAUUAAUAAUAAAUCUUGGACUAUUAUUAAAUAAAAAAAAACAUAAACAUUGUUAAAACACCAAACUUGCAUAGUUCAAACCUAGAGAAACCCUAUGCCAAUAAUCUAAUUUAAAAAAAUAAUUAAUUUAUCCUUGUAGUCUUAGAAAAUAGUAUUUAAUCCUUAUGUUUUUACAUUUAUCUUUGAUUUAACCUUUUACAUCUAUUUCAUCUUAUUAUUUUGGUUUACUAAGUAAAGUCUUAGAAACCUAUUUAUGGUCUUAAACAACUUAAAAAGGCUCAAAAACCUAAAAUGAACUCAAACCUGAAAAUCUUCAUGCUGAGAGGUCUGUUUCAUCAAGCAAGGAAAAAGAAAAAAAAAACAUAGGUGAAACUUCCCUCAUCAAAUAAAAUCCAAUGACACUAGGAUUGACUAUUUUGGUGGCUAGAAUAGAAGUCAACGAUAACAUUUUCUUUCCACGUCGGAAUCUAGCAAGUUUCUCUCUUCUCUCACAAAAAAAAACUAAAAAAUAAGGAAAAUAAAGUUUGGUAUUAAAAUCAAAUUUCCGACAACUAAAGAGACCAAUCACCUAUUAACUAAAAACAAUUGGGGACCGAACUAAGUUUUUCAUAUGAAAUAUGAAGUUGACAUCUAUUUUCUCCAUGUUUUUUACUUUGGUUAUCUAUCUUUCAAUCCAACCCUUUCUUCAUAAAAAUAGAAGUAACUUUGUAUUAAUUUGGACUAAAAAAGGUACAAUAGUGCAAAAACAAAUUGAGGAUCAAAUUGAGAAUUAAAAAAUAAUUGAUUAUUUUAAUCUAUAAUGAUAUGUGAGAGAGUGCACAUUAUAAAGUGAAGAGAAAAAACUCCACAUGACUUUGAAACACCUUUGAUGGUUGAUUGAAAUUGGUAAGUGAGUUUCCUCACAUGUUGUUUUUUCGGUUUUGAGUCCAAAUAUGGAGAUUUUAUGAUUUAAGGUAUUUUUCAUGAAUGCAACCCUUCAUGUAUUCAAUAACUUAUUUUCUAGUAUAAACUACGUUUGAAAUAAAAUUGAUAAAAGACAUGUGGUACACAAUUAAUGAUGGCAUGUAUAUAAAAAUAAUUAAAUUGAAAAUUUUCAAUUAUCUUUAAAGAUAUCAUGGUUUUAGUCGGUUAAAUUAUAAAAAAAAUAUUUAAUUUUUUGAUAUAAAUAAUAAUAACAAAUUAGAUAAUAGUAACAAGAAAAUAGGAAUUAGUUUGAAUAAAUGGUACCAGUUCCUAUUAUGAUAUAUCUAGAGAAGAAGUUUGAAGAAUAAAAUGAAGUGAAAUAUUCUUAAUAAAAAAAGAAAAACACAAAAAGAAAUAAAAAAAUAUUCUUAAUAAAUAUAAAAGAUGGGUGAAAUUAGAGAACAAGAAAGAGAUAUAGAAUCUCUUUGUAAGAUUUCUAAAAACUUAAUUACAAUUAUAUUAUAAUUUCUUCCCUAAAAUUAUUUAAAAUAUAGUAUUAGAAUUACAUAAUGCUAGGUUUUAAUAUAUAAUUAAAGAGUUUCUCCUUAACCAAAUAUAAAAAUAUUUUAUAAUUCUUUUGAAUGAAUUAUUAACGGAGGGACUGUUUUGGGUCCCUAUUUAGCUGAUUUUAUUUGAAUAUAUUAUUUGACUAGUCCAUUUAUAGGUUUACUCUACUAUUCUUGCCUUACUGGAACCGGAAAAUUCACUCGAAAUUUCUAGUAGUUUACACAGAAAUUUCCUGUGCUAAACUUCAAAGAAUUUCUUUUCUUUUCAUUUUGUAUUUUCUCAUUUUCUUGGCAUGCGCGCAGCUGCAUCAAGGAAAAAACGUUUCAGAUGCGUGUAAUAAAUCCAAUCGAUGAAUGAGAAAGGGACGCAAAAUAAAGAUAAAAGUGGAAUAUUCUCAUUAAUUGGUCAUCAUUUAAACGUUGGACACAGCCAUCUAUAUGUUGUUUAAAGAAUUUAAAUGGUUAGUCAGAAAGGAUUGCUUUUUAAUUAAAAAUAUAUUAAAAUAAUAUUUUUAAUGCCAAGUAUUUGUUCAACCUCAUUAAUGCUAACGAGUGGACCCAGUUGUUGUGGAAACUUUGCUAGGGAUCUGGAGUGUCAUAAUCCAAAAUUAUUCCUUAAAAUUUAUAUUUUUUCAAAAUAAAAAUCAAAAAAAUAAAAUAAAGGCUGGCAACGUGGAGAAAGCAGGCCGGAAAAUCAAGCUGUAAUUUUUGGAGGAAAUUCAAGGCGUAAUUGUACCCCACUAUGCCCCAAAAUAGAGAGAAAAUAUAAAUUCAAGGUCAAAUUAAAUGAUUAUUUGACAAAUUUGCAUAAACAUUAAGUCCGAUGACAUAAUUAAAUUUUUAAUAGGCCAAUUUGAUUUAAUCACGGGCCAAAUUAAAUUUUAAUUAUGUUUAAGAAUUAAUUUGCGUCCAAUUGAAGGAUUUAAUUAAGUGCAAGGACUUAAUUAUACUUUAAAUGGGUCAAAUUAAUUUUAUUUUGGGCUUAAUUGGUGAAAACUUAAGUUUGGGAGCUUAAUUGAGAAGAUUGGAAUUUUAAGAGACCAAAUUUAAUUCUUACCAAGUUAAUUGAUUGAAAUUAGGGGCCCAAUUGCAAGAACAUUGAAGUUUUGGGGUCAAUUGGGGGUUAAAUUGAAGAAAUUGACAGCUAAGGACCACUCUGCAAAAGGCGAAAACAUUUGGGGACUUAAUUGACAACCACCGGGGCAAAAUUGAAGAAAUUGAAAGUAUAAUGGUCAAUUAGAGGUUAAUUUGACAAAAUUCGAGACCAAGGACCAUAUUGCAAUAGGCGCGUAACUUUGGGGUUUCAAUUGAAGUUUAUCAGGGGCUUAAUUGCAUUAAAUCCAAAGUUAAGGGUUAAUUAGGGGUUCAAUUGAAACCAAUUGAAAGAUGGAGGACUAAGAUGAAAAUAUGUUAAAAUCCCUAAUUCAACUCAAAAUGGCGCCGUUUUAUAUUAAAAAAGAGAGAGAGAGAGGGGACCAGACGACGCGUUGUCGGGUCACUGUUCAUUGUCUUCUUCUUUUACCCGAAAGAAACUGCUUGGGAGCCUUAUUUGCAGGUGCAUUUAAUGCUUGAUUUCUCCAUAAAAUUGAACAAAACUUGCACGAAAAGGAUCCCCUGCAAUUCCUCUACAAACCCAUGUGAACUUUUCAGGAUUAAUGACAGCACAGCUACGCCGGAGAUGGCGUGAAGAGGUCAACUCAGGCAGCCUUUUCCUGCAGAUUUGACAACUCAGGGAGGCUACUUUGAGCCAACAGUUGGGAUCCUUCCCAACAGAAUCAAGAGCUAAAAUUUUACCCCAGUGCAAAAGAGAUUACCCUCUUCGACCGCCUAUAAAUAGAGGCUGAUUUGAUGGCCUGAGGGAGGAAAAAAAAUCGGGUCCAAAAUUUGAAAAAAACAAGCUCCCACUGCCCCCGUUUCUGCAAUUUCUCUCUCUCUCUCCGUCGCUUCAACCACCACCAACCUCAUCACCAGCUUCUCCACCACCAGCUCCAUCACAGUAAGCCACCAACCGACCACCGAGAGCCACCGUGAACCUUUCUCUCUCCUCUGCAAACCGGUUUCUUCUUUCUCCCACAGCGACUCCACCGGCCAAAACUCUCCACCAACGCCGCCAUCAGCCUCUUUUCUUCCACGACCAGACCACCGCCAACUUCACGCCAGGCCAGAGACAGCAGCUUCUUCUCCUCCGCAAGGUCGCCUCCCACUUCACUCCGCCGUCUGCGCAAAGUUGCAUGCAGAACAUGAACUUACUGUUCACGUUCUACAAUUAAUUCAUCCCUCACUUGGGCCGGGCCAUAAAUGUUUGGCUGGGUCUGGCCCGGCCUCAAAAGAAAAGGAGAAAGAAAAUAUGUUGGGCCGAUAUCGGCCCAACCUUUUUGGACCGAGAUCGGCCCAACUGUUUCUGGGUUUCUGCUUGGUCCAGUUACUUGGGCCAUCCCGGCCCACCUGUUUUAAUAAUAUUUAAUUAAUAUAUUAUAUUAUAUUAUAUAUUUCCUUUUAAAAAAAACAAAAAAAUCCAAAAAAAAUUUCAAAAAUCAUUUUUAAAAAAUUACGAUUUUCUCAAAUAUUUUUCUACCACUUUUGUAUAAUAUCGGGUUGUAUAUUUACACUGUAAAAUACAAACCUGGUAUUAAAAUACCCGGUUUUCUCCUAAAUAUUUCAAAAACAAAAUUCAAAACAUUUUCAAAGAGAAAAAAAAUAUUUUGUUGCAUACGGCCAAAUCUUAAAAUUUUUCCAAGCAUAUUUUUCAAUAAAAAAACAAAAAUUGCAUCUUUCUCCAGUUUUGAAAAUAAAAAAAAUGGAUAUCAUAACCAGUUUGUGAAUAUCCAUUAGAAUUUGGCCAACAUGUCAAAACCUUUUUCCAAUCUUUUUAGGGUUCAGAUGCAGACUUUAGUAUUUGUGGAGUGUAAAAUUACACGAUAAAGUACACCCUCAGGUAUUAAAGAUACAAGGUGUAAAUAAAUGCGAUGCUAAAAUUCAGACUUUAGAAUGGUUAGGAUUUAACCUGAUAAAGUAAAGACUUUCUCAUGAAGAGAGAUCUGCCUUAAACCUUAAAAAAGACCAACGAAUAGAAACCCGAUUUAGAAAAAAACAAUCAAACAACAAUGUAGCUUACCUUAGGUAGGGUGCACUGGGGGUGAUGCGUCUUCCCCUUGCACAACCAGUCUCUUACCCAGACUCUCGCAGACCAUAGGUUUCUAGUGAUCAUAAUACUAGGUGGCGACUCCUAAACAUUAAUCAUAAUUUUAUAAUUAAAUCCAAAAAACCUUCCCAACACACAACACCUCACACAGGAGGCACGACAAGAAGCCUUUGCCGUCGCCAGACGACGUCGCGCCCCUUGCGACAUGGAGGAAGAAAAAUGAUUGCAUUGCUAAUAAUUUGCAAGAGAGAAUUCUUUUUCUGAAUAGAAAAAACUAUUAUUUUUAAAAUAAAAACAACUAAAUAGAAAAAUUAUUAUUUUUUAAAUAGAAAAACUAGAAAAGCCUUGUAAUAUUGAAUAAAAAAUAAAAUAGAAAAAUUAUUCUUUUAAAGUAGAAAAAAUUAUGACAAUUUAAUAAUACUGAAUAGAAAUAAAUCAAAUUUUUAAACUAAAUAAAAAUAAUAGAGAAAAAUAUUUAUUAUCCUAAACUUUUUUAUAUUAAAAUCUUAAUUUAUAACAUGAACUGAGUCUACAUGCUAAAAUUAGAAGAACAAAAAAAAAAUGUAACAAAAAAAUUCCAUACAACACAAUUAAUGAUGGGAUCAUAUAUUUUGAGACUAAAAUGAGGUUUUCGAAUUACCUUUAAACAUAACAUAACAUGAUUUUAAUAGAUGUACUGUACAUCAUUUGAAUUUAUUAGAAAAAACAUAUAAUGUAAAGUAUGAACCACUUACCAUUAACUAGAUUUUUCAAUUGGAUUUUUUAUUUAAAUGAAAAGGAAAAUUUAUUUUAUUAUGAAAAAUAUUUUUUAUAUAUAUCUAGUAAUAAUAAAUUAAAGGAUAAUAACAAGAAAAUAACAAUUAGAUCGAAUAAAUGGUACCAAUUUCUAUUCUGAUAUAUCUAGCCAAAGAAUAGAAUGAAUCAAAAUAUUCUUAAUAAAAAAAAUAGAAAACACAGAAAGAAAUAAAAAAAUGUUCUUAAUUAAUAUAAAACUAUUAAUUUACAAAAGAAAUUUUCUGGUACUUUAUACUGUAUAUAAUUUGAAAAAUUGUGACUGACCGACUUACUUGCAAAGUAUUUGCAAGAAAGUUAAAGAAUUAGAGUUUUUUAAUAUUCAAAAUUAUAAUUUUAAAUUCUACGAAAAAAAUCAAUUAUUUUUAAAACUGUUUUCAAAAAUAAAACAUCAACUAUUUAUAUAAUAGCUAAAUAAAACAAUUAAAAUAAAUAAAAAAAUAACUAGUAAAAUCAAGUGAAUAAUCCAAAAAUAACAAGAAAAUAGAGAUAUUUCCUAAAUAUGAUUUCAGUUUGUUGUAUUGAUCAAUUUGCUAACAUAAAUAGCAUAAACGAACUUUAUUCUAAUAGUAUGUUUGAUAUUUAAAAAAAAAAAAAACUUAUAGAUAUUAUAUGGGUUGGCAACCCAUUUUUUAUUAAAUUUUAAAUUUUAUUUGUUUAAAAAUAUUUGUUUAUGUUUUUUAAUUAUUUUAAUAUGAUAAUAUCAAAAAUAAAUAAAUAAAAUUUUUCUAAGUUUUACUACUUCUGACUUGCUUUGACUCGAAAUUAGUGGUGCUUUCUCCUGCGAAUGAAUAGAAAGCAUAUCAUAAAGGUGUGUUUGACAUUGUGUUUUGGAAGUAUUUUUUAAAAAAAUAAAUUUUUUUAUUUUUUUUCUUCAAAUUAUUUUUUUUGUUGAUGUUUUCAUAUUAUUUUGAUAUGCUGAUGUCACAAAUAAUUUUUAAAAAAUAAAAAAAUAUAUUAUUUUGAUGUGUUUUGAAAUGAAAAAACUUUAAAAAGCAACCGCUACCACACUCUCAAACUCCUUUGUUUAUUGAGUCUUACUGUGAAACCUCGUUUUGGGAUGAAUUGAUUGUAAGAAUAAGAAAUUAUGUGCAAAUUAUACAAAAUUUAUUAUUCAUCAUCAAGAUUUAUUAUUUAUUAUCACUAUUGAAUAAUGAUUUAUUUUAUAAUAUAAAUUAUGUUUAAAAUAAAAUUGAUAAAAUUAAAAUACAUGAAACGAGGUCGUAUAUUUUGAAACUAAAUUAAAAUUAUUUUCUUUUUCAAUGAUAUCAUUUGUUAGUUUGCAAGUCCACAUGUCACGAGUCUCCACUGCAUGAAAUUUGCAAAAUCAUAUGGCCCAUUGAUAGAAGGUGUGUUGAAGCAAAAUCUGUUUUAUUGAUUAUCAAUAUUGAAUAAUAGCUUAUUUUCUAGUAGAAACUAUGUUUGAAAUAAAAUUGAUAAAAGACAUGAUAUACAAUUAAUAAUAGGAUCGUAUAUAAAAAUAGGAAAUUUCCUGGUAAUAAAGUCCCAACUUUCGUAGGCGAGCACUAAAGUCCCAAACUUCAAGAAUUUCUCUUCUUUUCCUUUUGUAUCUUCUCAUUUUCUUGGCAUGCGCGCAGCUGCCUCGAGGAAAAAACGUUUCAGAUUCGGAAAAUAAAGAUAAAUGUGGAAAAAAAAAAUCCCAAAUAAAGAUAUCUUUUCGUCCCUUGGUGUCGUGUGAAUACCAUGUGGAUAUCAUUUCAGAAAAUCAAUUCAACCGUUCUCCAAAGAACACUCAUACUCCAAUAUCAGCAACUACCACGAAAGUUACCACUCUAAAUUCCAGCUCAAUAAUUAAGGUUCCAAGAUAAGCCUAAAAAAUAUUUAUUAGGCUUAUCUUAAAGCCUAAUAAAUAUCUAAAAAAAAACAAAAAAACAAAAUUCCACCCUAGGCUGUGAUUAACAGAUUAUCUGAUGGAAACAUGAUGAGCUUUUUUUUAGUGAAUUAAGUUCAAUUAAAAAAAAAUUAAGGUUAAAUUGAUGAUUAAUAAUGAAUUUUGUAUACUUUGCACAGGAUUUUCUUAUUCUCGUCAAUUAAUCUUAAAGCGAGGUUCCAAGAUAAGCCUAAAAAAUAUUUAUUAUUGAUCAACAAUAUUGAAUAAUGGCUUAUUUUCUAGUAUAAAUUAUGUUUGAAAUAAAAUUGAUCAUAAGAGUAGAUGAUAUACAAUUAAUGAUGAAAUCGUAUAUUUUGAGACUAAAUUAAGAUUUUUCAAUUAUCUUUAAAUAUUAUGGUUUUAAUAGGUGGACAAUGCAUUCUUUGAAUUUAUUACAAGUAAUGUGUAAUUUAAAUUAUAAAAAAAUAUUUAUUUUUCUGAUAUACAUGAUAAUAAUAAAUUUGAUGAUAGCAACAAGAAAAUAGAAAUUAGUUUGAAUUAGUACGUUUCUCAUUAACAUUAAUGAUGGAAUCAAAAUCUUUGUUAGCGGUCACCUGUUCGACCUCAGUAAUGUUAACGCGUGGACCCAGCUGUUGUAGAAACUUUGCAAAGGAUCUCGAGGAAGAAAAAUGAUUGCAGUGUAAGACUUAAUUACCGAUUCUAUGAUGGGGAAUAAAUAUGUUUAUAACAGAAUUGUAAGUUAUAAUAUGUAAAAUUUAAUUAACGAUUCUAUUAUACGAAAUAAAUAUGUUUAUAACGUAAUCGUAAGCCUUAAUAAUAAGAAAUCAAUAUCUCCAUCUAUUAAUGUUCCUCAUGUAUUUAUUAUUCUUUUUUAUAUAUAUUUGAUACUUUCAAACUCUACUCACUUUAUAUAGAUUGUGUAAAACUUAAGAGAACUCAGUAAGUGAGUAUAGAGAUCAAAUAACAUUAUUUAUAGCCAAAGCUUCCCUCAAGCUUUAAUGGCUAUAUGUCCCACAUAUUUAUUAUAUCAUGGGUAGUUACAAGUGAAUCACUUUAAGAGCUUAUAAAUGUAAAUGUUACAACUUUAAAAUGAACGAUUUUAAGAGUUUAUAAAUAUAAAUAUUAUAAUUUUUAGAGUGGAUCACUUUUAGUGUGAAGGAGAGUUAGAGAAUCGAUUAUAAUGACUCUGUAAAAAACAGUCAACAUGCAUUGCUAAUAAUUUGCAACGGAGAAUUCUUUAUUGAGAUUUAUUGUUAAACCUCGCUUUGGAAUGAAUUGAUCACGAGAAUAAAAAAUAAUCACUACAUACACCCUUUAACUAUUUUACUUGAAAGUUUCGAUUAUUUCCUAAGCUCCUUUGUUCAUUUUCUUUUUUAUUACCCCUUCAUGCACGACACUUUAUGCCACUUCAUGAUACCCUUGUUUUCAACGUUUUACACUACUUUAAAAGCGUGUUUGGUAGUGUGGUUGCGGGUGCUUUUCAAAUAACUUUUCGUGUCAAAAUACAUGCCAAUGAUAUUUUUUUUAUUUUUUAAAAAUUAUUUUUGACAUCAGCACAUCAAAACGAUCCAAAACAUAUAAACCUUAUUAAAUUUUAAUUUAAAAAAUAUUCAAUUUUUUUGGGAACGCAGCCGCAUCCGCGUUCACAAACGAGUCCUCAAGUCAAUUGUUAGAUACUAAAAACAGCAAGAACUGUACUCAAUCAGCAACCACUGUGAAAUUACCACUCAAAAUCCCAUGAAUAUAUAUAAAAAAGAAUUUUGUCUAGAAAAAUUCUAUCAAAUUCUCUACUUUAUUACUCUUCAAUGUUUUACACUGCUUUAGUUCUAAAAAAACUCCUAGAUGUUAUAAAGCAAGAUAUAUACAACUAUAUAUAUAUAUAUAUAUAUAUAUAUAUAUAUGAAAGUGUAAUAAAUAUUAUAUUUUAAAGUAUUUUUUAAAUAUAUUAAAAUAAUAUUUUUUUAAAAAUAAUUUUGAUAUUAGUAUAUUAGAAUAAUAAAAAAAUAAUUUAAAACAAUAAAAAAUAUUGAAAUUUUUAAAAAAUAUGAUUUGACUGAACUCCAAAACACACGCAUGCUCCCUCAGCAGCCACCACGAAAUUACCACUCUAAAUUCCAGCUCAAUAAUUUAUUCUUUAGCAAUUAUUGCUUGCUCUUUGACAAGUACUGCUUUGCUAAUAAUUUGCAAGAAACUUUCUCAAUUUCCUUCUAUUUUCUUUUUAUCAUGGAAACUUUAAGUCACAUACCACUAAAUUACCGAUAAUUAAAUUUCAAUGUGUAAUUGUGUAGGUUUCAAUUAAAAAUGUUUUAAUUUGAGAAAAUUUGUUAAAAAAAUAGUAUAAAUUAUAUUUUAGAGUUUAUUUUAAUAGUUUAAAUUUUUAGAUGAAUAGUUUUCUAACAAAUAAAGACAUAGUUUUACGAUAAAAUGCAUUUUUUAAAAUGAAAUUAUAUUAAAUUAAGCAUGGUCGAGAUUAUUCAAAUUAUUAAUUAAUUAUAAUUAACUUUAUGUCUUUAGAGGAAACAAAAGGAAAGGACAAAAUGAUUAAUUAAAUUUUUAGAUGAAUUAAUAAAUCUUUACAAAUAAAAGAUAUAGUUUUUCAUUUUUUGAAAUGAAAUUAUAUUAAAUUAAGCAUGCUCGACAUUGUUCAAAUUAUUAAUUAAUUAUAAUUAACUUUAUGUCUUCAGAGUAAACAAAAGGGAAGGACAAAAUUAUCUUCCCCACAACGAUAAACCUAGCCCCCUUUCCAAACCAAUCCUCUAGUAAAUAGAAUGAUGGUCCCAUAAAUUGCUUUAUUCUUUCCAGCCCGCCAAGUAGUUUGGUCUCCCUCACAGGACCUCCUUAGCAUGGGAAUCAUAUGAAUUUCCUUGCUUUUCUUCCUCUACGCGUUACCUUUCACCUUUUAUAAUUAUUAUUAUUGCAUUGCUAAUAAUUUGCAAGAAAGAUUAUGAACAUUUUUUUUAGUGAAAUAAGCUCAUUUCAAAUUAACAAAAUAUAGUUUGUUGAGGCUUGUCUUGAAACCUCACUUUGGAUUAAUUGACAGGAAUAAUAAAAUUUUAUUCAAAUUAUAUAAAAUAUUAGGUGUGGAUGUGCCCUUGCCCAACAAGCUACCAUGACCUUAUCUAGAGUUGGGUGUUAACGAGACAAGCCCUUGUCCAACUCAGAGUUCGGCAUAGAUAUAUCAUGACCCAACAUAAAGUUUGGAUGCGGAAAAAAUAUAAUUUCAUUUUGAAUUAUGAUUUUUGUUGGAUAGUCUUUAAAUAAAUUUUUUUUUUAGAAAAUCAUGACCCAUAUCUGGUUAUCGGAAAAACAAUUAUGGUUGAUUUAGCCUCAUCUUCUCUGCUUGUAAAAUUGGGGCAGAUUAUGGACUUAACCGAGCAAUUACCGCUCAAAAUUCCUAGCAAUUUACAAAGGAAUUUUCCUUGCUUUUUCUCAGUAUAUUAUUAGAAAAACCGUCAUUGACUGAUUUAAUUGUAAAGUCUUUGCAAGAAAGUAAAAAAAUUAGUUUUUUAAAAUAAAAAAUAUAGAGAGAGAAAUAAAAAAUAAAAAAUAAAAAAAGGAGCGAAAGGAAACAACCGCCAUCUUUCUUGUUCCUUUUCCCUUCUUUACACGGCGUCCUCGAUGAAAAUAGCAAACACCCCAUUUGAAUAUAUAAUUAAAGAAAGAAAGAAAGAGAGGAAAAUUCCUUCCUCAAUACUUACCGCUACACGCUUCAGAAAUUCCUUGCUUUUUUUUUUUUUUUUUUCAUCUCUACUUACGUGUUACCUUUUACCUUUUAUAAUUAUGAUUAUUGCAUUGCUAAUAAUUUCCUUGCAUUUCUUUAAUAUAUAAUUAAAGAAAGAAAGAUGUUGAACACUUUUUUAGUGAAUUCAAAAUAACAAAAUAAGGUUGUUGAGGCUUUUCUUGGAACCUAGCUCAGGGAUUAAAUUAUAAAAAAAUAUAUUUAUUUUUCUGAUUAUAUAGCAAUAACAAAUUAAAUAAUAGCAACAAGUAAAUAGGAAUUAGUUUGAAUAAAUGGUACCAGUUCCUAUUAUAAUAUAUCUAGAGAAGAAGUUCGAAGAAUAGAAUGAAGUCAAAUAUCCUUACAUAAUGCUAGGUUUUAAUAUAUAAUUAAAAAGUUUUCCAUGAACCAAAUAAUAAAAAUAUUGUACAACUUUUUUGAAUGAAUUAUUAACAUAGAGGCUUAUUUGAUUUGAAUAUAUUAUUUGAUUAGUCCAUUUAUAGGUUGUCUCUAUUAUUCCUGCCUUGCAUUGCCAGGAAAUUUCACUAGAAAUUUCUAGUAAUUUAAACAGGAAAUUUGCUGGUGAUAAACCUGGAAUAUGAUUUUCAACUUUCGUAGGCGAGCACUGAAGUCCCAAACUUCAAGAAUUUCUUUUCUUUUCCUUUUGUAUCUUCUCAUUUUCUUUCUAGGAAUGUUAUGAGAAGCAGCAGAGUCAAGAGGCCAUUUUUGAUCCUGUGGACCGGAAGUAGUUGCAUAGUUAGUCGUAACCUCUGAUCAAUGGAGUCGUGGGUAAGACUUGGCUAAAUGGCCUAUCUGAUCAGGAAAUUGGCAUUUCGGUUGAUAAUGCAUUUGAGUGGUACCGAUUGGUUGAAGACUUGCAGUUGUCUUUGAAUGGACCGACCUUGAGGGAUUUUAUUGUGGCCUGGAGACCGAGAAGAUCCAUUAGUCUUAUUUGAACCCUUCGGGUGAGACCCACCAUAUGAACUAUUUAAGUUCUGUUUGUGAAGAUAAGAAUAAUUGGCAGAGGCCACAAGCUGCUGAGUUGAAGAUUCCAAACGCCGCAGGUAACUGUCAUGCCCCUCAAGAAUAUCUUGAAGCUCUUCAAAUUAUCCCAAUAGUUCUUAUAUUAAAAUCUCAUUUAUCAUAUGUUACAUCUAUCAAAAAAAAAAAAAUAAUUUGUGACGUGAACUAAAGCUAUAUGUGAAAACUAGAAAUAACAAAUGUAUGAAAAAAAAAUCAGCUGUGAUUAACAGAUUAACGAUGGAAAUUAAGAUGAUGAAUAUUUUUUUGUAAAUUAAUUUCAAUUUAAAAUAACUACAAAGAAGUUAAUUAGGAUUCCUUCCUUGAAAUUAUUAAAAAUAUAGUAUUAGAAUUAUAGAAUGCUAGGUUUUAAUAUAUAAUUUUUAAUAUUAAUUGUUAAAGAGUCUCUCUCGAACCAAAUAAUAAAGAUAUUAUAUAACUCUUUUGUAUGAAUUGUAAAUCUAGGGAUAGUUUUGGGUUUUCCAAUCACAACUUUGGACUAAAAUUAAUAACAAAAUAAAGACCAAAGAUAACGGUAUGUAAAUCUAGGGACCAAAAAUAAUACAACUGCAUUUACUGUAGAUUUCACUUAGAAUUUCUAGUAAAUUACAAAGGAAAUUUCUUGUGCUUUUUAACGUACAUGAAUUGAAAAACUACCAUUGACUGACUUGCAUUGACUGACUUGCUAAGCAUUUGCUGCUCGAAAUUUUCUCCCUAAAAAUUUUCAAGCAAUUUACGGAGCAAAUUUCCUUAUGCUCUCUCUUGUAUAUUAUUAGAAAAAUUGUUUUUAAAAAUCAAUUUUUUUUUAUUUUCCUGAGAUUCUAUUUUUUAGUCGAGUCAAUUUCAAGUUGGGUUCAAUAAUUAUGAUUAAAUUUACUGAAAAAAAAAUAAUUUUAUGUCACUUCAUGAUACCCAUGUUUUCAACGCUUUACACUGCUUUAAUAAAUUGUUACAGUAAUAGCACAGAGAGGAGCGGUUCCAGAAAAAACAAUAAUGGAGAUGAAGCAAAAUCUGUGUUUGAUUUUUUCUUUUUUGUGUUUUCGGUACAUUGGUCAACAAUAGCUUGGAAGAGUUUGGAAUCAGUAACACGUGGACCCAGUUGUUGUGGAAACUUUGCAGAGGAUCUUCACUCUGCAGGAAGAAAAAUGAUUUUAAUAGAUGUACUGUACAUCAUUUGAAUUUAUUAAAAGUAACGUGUAAUGUAAAGUAUGAUUCACUUACCAUUAACUAGUUGGACAAAAAAACUAAACUUUCUCAAUUUCCUUCUAUUUUCUUUUUAUCAUGGAAACUUUAAGUCACAUCUGCGCCUACCACGAAAUUACCGAUAAGUAAAUUUCAAUGCGUAAUUGUGUAGGUUUCAAUUAAAAAUGCUUUAAUUUGAAAAAUUAUGUUAACAAUAAUAUAAAUUAAUUUUUCUUCAAAAUAAAAAGUAAUUGGGUAUUAAUUUAGGCUAUAAAGAUAAAAUAAUAAUAAUAAAAAAGAGUUCGAGGGUAUUCAUUUUAUUAUUUGUUAUGUAACUAUAUAAUCUAAUUUGUUGAUGUGGAAAAUAGCACAAAGUUUUUGACAUGGAUAUUGGUGAGAAGCAAAAGCAGUAUCCACUAUGAGAGCUUUUGUAAACGCGUGGACCCAGUUGUUGUGGAAACUUUGCAAAGGAUCUGCAGGAAGAAAAAUGAAAUUUGCAAAGUAUUUGUGUGUAUUAUAUAAUUGUGUUAAUUUAAGGAUUAUUUUUUAGUUGUAUUAAUUUAGAAAAUAUUUUGUCUCACCGGAAAACUCUAAUUACGUUCGUAUAUUUGUUUUUGGUAACAGAUGCAAUAUGCUUUUUAAUUCAAGAUAUAUUAAAAUAAUAAUUUUUAAAAAAAAAUUAUUUUUUUUAUUUUAGUAUAUUAAAAAUAAAAAAUUUAAAAAUAGUAAUUUAAUAUUUUCUUAAAAAUAUAUUUAAAAAACACUUUUAAUUUUGUUUUUCAACUGUACUAUUCCUUGAAAAAACUCAAACUCUAAAUAAUAUCUUCUACUACAUACUUUCUAAGACUAAAAAUUAAUCUAAAUGUUUUUGAAAAGUAGUUCAACCAAAGUACCAAAUAUGUUUAUAUACUCCAUCUUCAACCACUGUAAAAUUACCACUCUAAAUUACAACUCGGUAUCGAUUACCUUUUAUCUUUGACAAUUAUUGCAUUGCUAAUAAUUUGCAAGAAAAAAUACAUUCUCAAUUUCCUUCUAUUUUUUUUUUAACAUGAAAAACUUUAAGUCACUCAAUCUGCAACCACCAUGAAAUUACCGGUCCGAAUUCCAGCUCAAUAUUUACCGGUACGACACGCUUGAGGAAUUUCCUUGCUUUUCUUCCUCUACGCGUUACCUUUCACCUUUUAUAAUUAUUAUUAUUGCAUUGCUAAUAAUUUGCAAGAAAGAUUAUGAACAUUUUUUUAGUGAAAUAAGCUCAUUUCAAAUUAACAAAAUAUAGUUUGUUGAGGCUCGUCUUGGAACCUCGCUUUGGAUUAAUUGACAGGAAUAGUAAAAUUUUAUUCAAAUUAUAUAAAAUAUUGGGUGCUGAUGUGCCUUUAUCCAACUUAGAAUUGCGACAAGCUACCAUGACCUUAUCUAGAGUUGGGUGUUAAUGAGACGAGUCCUUGCCCAACUCAGAGUUUGGCAUGGAUAUAUCAUGACCCAACAUAAAGUUUGGAUGCAGAAAAAAUAUGACUUUAUUUUGAAUUAUGAUUUUUGUUGGAUGGUCUCUAAAUAAAUUUUUUUUAUAGAAAAUCAUGACCCAUAUCUGGGUAUCGGAAAAACAAUUAUGGUUGAUUUAGCCUCAUCUUCUCUGCUUGUAAAAUUGGGGCAGAUUAUGGACUUAACCGAGCAAUUACCGCUCGAAAUUCCUAGCAAUUUACAAAGGAAUUUUCCUUGUUUUUUCUCAGUUCAUUAUUAGAAAAACUGUCAUUGACUGAUUUAAUUGUAAAGUCUUUGCAAGAAAGCUAAAAAAAUUAGAGUUUUUUAAAAUAAGAAAUAUAGAGAGAAAAAUAAAAAAUAAAAAUAAAAAAAGGAGCAAAAGGAAACAACCCCCAUCUUUCUUGUUCCUUUUCCCUUCUUUACAUGGCGUCCUCGAUGAAAAUAGCAAACACCCCAUUUGAAUAUAUAAUUAAAGAAAGAAAGAAAGAGAGGAAAAUUCCUUCCUCAAUACUUACCAGUACUACACGCUUGAGAAAUUCCUUUCUUGUUACCUUUUACCUUUUAUAAUUAUGAUUAUUGCAUUGCUAAUAAUUUCCUUGCAUUUCUUUAAUAUAUAAUUAAAGAAAGAAAGAUGUUGAACACUUUUUUAGUGAAUUCAAAAUAACAAAAUAAGGUUGUUGAGGCUUUUCUUGGAACCUCGCUCAGGGAUUAAUUAACAAGAAUAAAAAAAUCCCCUGCAAAUUAAACAAAAUUUAUUAUUAAUCAUUGAUAUUUAUUAUUGAUCAUCAAUAUUGAAUAAUGGCUUAUUUUCUAGCAUAAAUAAAAUUGUUAAAAAACAUGAUUACACAAUUAAUGAUGAGAUCGGUUAUAAAAAUGACUAAAUUGAGGUUUUUCAAUUACCUUUAAACGUAUCAUGGUUUUAAUAGGUGGACAGUACAUCCUAUUAUGUAAAUUAUAAAAAAUUAUAUUUAUUUUUCUGAUAUAUAUAGCAAUAACAAAUUAAAUAAUAGCAACAAGUAAAUAGGAAUUAGUUUGAAUAAAUGAUACCAGUUCCUAUUAUUAUAUAUCUGGAGAAGAAGUUCGAACAAUAGAAUGAAGUCAAAUAUCUUUACAUAAUGCAAGGUUUUAAUAUAUAAUUAAAAAGUUUUCCAUGAACCAAAUAAUAAAAAUAUUGUAUAACUUUUUUGAAUGAAUUAUUAACGUAGAGGCUUAUUUGAUUUGAAUAUAUUAUUUGAUUAGUCUAUUUAUAGGUUGACUCUACUAUUCCUGCCUUGCAUUGCCAGGAAAUUUCACUAGAAAUUUCUAGUAAACGAAAUUUGCUGGUGAUAAACCUGGAAUAUGAUUUUCAACUUUCGUAGGCGAGCACUAAAGUCCCAAACUUCAAGAAUUUCUUUUCUUUUCCUUUUGUAUCUUCUCAUUUUCUUGGCAUGCGCGCAGCUGCCUCGAGGAAAAAACGUUUCAGAUGCGGAAAAUAAAGAUGAAAGUGGAAAAUAGAAGCGGGGAAAAAAAUCCCAAAUAUCGACAAACAUCACAAGAGAAGCUUGAUAUCUCUUCGUCCCUUGGUAUCGUGUGAAUGUGGAUAUUAUUUCAGAAUAUCAAUUCAACCGUACUCCAAAGAACACUCAUACUCCAAUAUCAGCAACCACCACGAAAGUUACCACUCUAAAUUCCAGCUCAAUAAUUUAUUCUUUGACAAUUUUACUUCUAAAAAAAAUGAAUUUUUUUUUAUAAUUAUACGCCAUCAGCAACUACCAUUACGACUCCAAAUUCCAGCUCAAUAUCGAUCAACACGUGGCUAAAGAAUUUGUUUCCUUUUUUUUCCUGCACGUGUUACCUUUUUAUCUUUUAUAAUUAUAAGUAUUGCGUUGCUAAUAAUUUGCAAGAAAUAAUAUUCUUUCUCUAAAAAGGGCUUGAGAAAACCCUAAGCAUAGUAUAUAGUCUCUUAUAGGAAUCUCUUUAUUAAAUCAUCAAAAUAUCAAAGUCUGUUUCCAAAGACUAUGACUACAGUUUAUAUAUAGAAACAACCAAAUAUAAAAAUUAUUUUUUAAAAAUAGAAAAAACAGAAGAGCUUGAUAAUAUUUAAUUAAAAAAUAAAAUAGAAAAAUUAUUCCUUUUUAAGUAGGAAAAAAAAAUAUAAAGAUUUAAUAAUACUGAAUAAGAAAAAUUAAAAUAUUCUUUCUCUGAAAAGGGCUUAAGAAAACCCUAAGCAUUGUAGAUAAUCUCUUAUAUGAAUCUCAUCAAAAUAUCAUAGUAUAUUUCCAAAUACUAUUACGUACUACAUUUAUAUAUAUAUAUAUAUAUAUAUAUAUAGAGAGAGAGAGAAAGAGAGAGAGAGAUAGAGAGAGAAACAACUAAGUAGGUAAAGCUUAUGUUUCUUUGUUCUUGUUCCUUUAUAUAUAUACAUUCUCAAUUUCAUAAAAAAAAUUAAUUAGUCCUUGAAAUCUUAAAAAAUAGUAUUUAAUCCUUAUGUUAUUAUAUUCAUCUCUAAUUUAAUUUUUUUCAUCCAUUCAUCUUUUUAUUUAUUUAAUAGCUUAAGUUUUUAGUUAAAAGAUAAAUAGUUUUACUAUUAAAAGCAUUUUUUCGAAAUAAAAAUAAUAUUAAAUUAGGCAUCCUCAACAUUGUUCAAAUUAUUAAUUAAUUAUAAUUAACUUGAGGUUUAGAAGAAACAAAAGGGAAGGACAAAAUUAUCUUCCCCACAACCAUAGACCUAACCCCUUUCCAGACCAGUCCCCUGGUAAAUGGAAUAAUGGUCCCAUAAACAGCUUUUUUUCUUUCCAGCCCGCCAAGCAGACUAAGGCCUGUUUGUUUCUGUGUUUUAAAAGUGUUUUUGAUAAAAUUUAAAAUUUUUUUGUUUUUUUUAUUAACUUCAAAUUAAUAUGUUUUUAGUGUUUUUAAAUCAUUUUGAUGUGCUGAUGUCAAAAAUAAUUUUUAAAAAAUAAAAAAACAUCAUUAGCAUGUAUUUUGACACGAAAAACUAUUUGAAAAGCAACCGCAACCACACUACCAAACACACUCUAAGCAGUUCGGUCUUCCUCGCUGGACCACCUUAGCAUGAGAAUCACACUAGUUGGAAGUAUCUUUAAACCUCAUAAAAAUGAAUAACUGAUAAUAAUAUAAUUGGGAUUUAAAAAAAAUUCAUAAAAAAAUUUCUUAAAAAAAUCCAAAAAAUUAAACCGGACAAAAAUAAACAACCAAUAAUAAUAUAGUUAAAAUGAUAAAAAAGUGUUUAAAAAGCAAUUUGAAACCAAUUAAUCUUAAAAAAAAAAAACCAAAAAGAAACAUGCGAUGAAAACCAAUUCAUGAAAAAGUAAUUGGAUAUUAAUUUAGACUAAAAGGAUGAAAUAAUAAAAACAAAAGGAGAGUUUGAGGGUAUUCAUUGUUCAAAGGAACGCAAAAAUGCAUUCCAAGUAUGAAGUGUUUUAUUGUUAUAAAGUUUUUCAAACUUACAAUAUGGAGAGAGAAAUAAAUAAAAAGAAAAAAUAGCAAAAGGAAACAGCCCCCAUCUUUCUUGUUCCCUUUCCCACGGCCUACUCAAUGAAAAAGCAAACACCCCAUUGGAUUUCCCACGGCCGCCCACGAAAUCCCUUUAUCCUCUGCUGUUAAUUUUUUAAUGACGCAUAUCAGGUGUUUGAUAAAAUUCCUUAGCUGGGAAAGGAAAAAAAACCAUGUUAAGAAUGCUUUAGUCCUUUUCGAGUGGAAAGUGGUGUGAAAGUGAGAAGUACUGUGAGAGCUUUAUACCACUUUCUAUCUUAGACGUAAUGGCUUUGGCAAAAAGAAACCAAUAAAAGUUAGUGUUCGCACUGCUUUAGUCCAAGAGUCUUUCAUGGUUGCAUUGAUUGACUGGAAAAAAUCUCAAAGUUUUUAGAAAGAAACAGCCUUCAUUGCUUUUCGAAACCAAUCUCAGUAAUGUUAACGCGUGGACCCAGUUAUUGUGGAAACUUUGCAAAGGACCUCGAGGAAGAAAAAUGAUUGCAUUGCUAAUAAUUUGCAAGAGAGAAUUCUUUCACUGAAUAGAAAAAAGUAUUAUUUUUAAAAUAACAACAAGUAAAUUUAAAAAUUAGUAUUUUUUAAAUAAAAAACUAAAAAUUCCUGAUAAUAUUGAAUAAAAAAUAAAAUAUAAAAAUUAUUCUUUUUAAGUAUAAAAAAAUAUAAAAGUUUAAUAAUACGGAAUAGAAAUAAAUAAAAAUUCUAAACUAAAUAAAAAUAUUUUCUAUCCCAAAAAUUCUUAUAUCAAAAUCUCAUUUAUCAUAUUUUAUAUCUAUAAAAAACUAAUUUGUCAUGUGGAAUAAGUCUAUAUGCUAAAAUCAGAAAAAAAAUGUUACAAAAACAAAUUCCACAAAAGGCUGUGAUUAAAAAGAUGAUAGAUAUUUUUUAGUAAAUUAAUUUCAAUUCAAAAUAACAAAAUAAGGUUUAUUGAGGCUUACCGUUAAACCUUGCUUUGGGAUGAAUUGAUCACGAGAAUAAGAAAUCAUGUGCAAAUUAUACAAGAUUUAUUAUUAAUCAUCAAGAUUUAUUAUUUAUUAUCAAUAUUGAAUAAUGAUUUAUUUUAUAAUAUAAAUUAUGUUUAAAAUAAAAUUGAUAAAAUUAAAAUACAUGAAACGAGGUUGUAUAUUUUGAAACUAAAUUAAAAUCAUUUUCUUUUUCUAUUAUAUCCUUCAAAAUUAUUUAUUUUAUAAAAAACAAAACUUGUUAGUUUGCAAGUACACAUGUCAUGAGUCUCCACUGCAUCACUUUUGCAAAAUCAUAUGGCCCACUGUAUAUUUUGAAACUUGUUGAAGCAAAAUCUGUUUUAUUGAUCAUCAUCAAUAUUGAAGAAUGAUUUAUUUUCUAGUAUAAACUAUGUUUGAAAUAAAAUUGAUAAAAGACAUGACAUAUACAAUUAAUGAUGGGAUGGUAUCUAAAAAUGAUUAAAUUGGCAUUUUUCAAUUACCUUUAAACAUGCAUAUCAUGAUUUUAAUUGGUGGACAAUACUGUUAAAUAAUAUAUUUAUUUUGUUUUAUUUAUUAAGAUUAAAAUAAUAUUUUUAGCUUAAUCUAUAUAUAAACUCUUUAUAUUUAGAUUAAGCAAAAAUAAUAAUAUAUAUCAGAAUUCUAGUCUCAUUCCUUUUCGUAUUUAUUUUUAUGUUAAUUAAAUUGUUUUAACAAUACAUCAUGUAAAUUAUAUAAAAAUAUAUUUAUUUUUCUGAUAUAUAAAUACCUCUCUGUCCCAUUGCUGCCAUUUCAUAGCUAACUCUUUGUUAUAUUUAACUUCCUCUUCUUUGCUUCUUGCUCAUAACGAUAACUUGAAAGCCUUACGUUCAGAUAGAUAAUCAUUGACUAGCUCAUCCUAUAUCAUUCUAUUCAAUUUAUAUAUGCAGAAAGAAAAACGCAAGCAAUCCAAAGAUGAAGAAAACGCUUCAUCCUCGCGAAAGAGAAGAAAAGCUGACCUCAGUAAGCCUAUAUAAAGAAUACAAUUAACCUCAUUUCAACAUCAUAGUUAACCUCAUUUCAAUAUCAUAGCUUUGGAAUUUCAUAGCUAACUCUUUGUUAUAUUGCUCCAUUGGUAAUUGAUUGUGCCUUGAUUUCUGCAGCUGCCAUGACAGAGCCAGAGUCUUCUCGAUCUAUACCAGAAGGGGCCUAUGAUGUCUUCUUGAGUUUUAGAGGAGAAGAUACUCGCAAGACGUUUACUGAUCAUCUAUAUGCUGCCUUAGAUCAAGCAGGAAUCCACACUUUUCGAGAUGAUGAUGAACUUCCUAGAGGAGAAGAAAUCUCCGAGCAUCUUCUCAAGGCAAUUCGAGAAUCAAAGAUAUCCAUAGUUGUCUUCUCAAAAGGAUAUGCUUCUUCUAGAUGGUGUCUCAAUGAACUUGUAGAGAUUCUUAAGUGCAAAAGGAAGAAAACCGGUCAGAUUGUUCUUCCUAUAUUCUAUGACAUUGAUCCUUCAGAUGUGAGAAAACAGACUGGCAGUUUUGCAGAGGCAUUUGAUAAGCAUGAAGAGCGUUUUGAAGAGAAGUUGGUGAAGGAGUGGAGAAAAGCUCUUGAGGAUGCCGGAAACCUAUCUGGAUGGAGUCUCAAUGAUAUGGCAAAUGGGUAUGCCUUUUUUCCAAAUUUAUGGAGUCAAUAUACUUUACAUUUUUUAAUGUGAAACAAUAAAAUACUUAAUUGACUCGCUAUCAAUGACUUGCUUUUGUCUAUGAGCAGGCAUGAAGCAAAAUUUAUCAAAGAGAUUAUCAAGGAUGUGUUGAAUAAAUUAGAUUCCAAGUACUUCUAUGUUCCUGAGCACCUAGUAGGUAUGGAUCGGCUUUCUCGCAAUAUUUUUGACUUUGUAAGUACUGCAACAGAUGAUGUACGCAUNNNNNNNNNNNNNNNNNNNNNNNNNNNNNNNNNNNNNNNNNNNNNNNNNNNNNNNNNNNNNNNNNNNNNNNNNNNNNNNNNNNNNNNNNNNNNNNNNNNNNNNNNNNNNNNNNNNNNNNNNNNNNNNNNNNNNNNNNNNNNNNNNNNNNNNNNNNNNNNNNNNNNNNNNNNNNNNNNNNNNNNNNNNNNNNNNNNNNNNGAUGAUAGAGGAAAAGUUCUGAUCAAAGAACGACUUCGUCGCAAAAGAGUUCUUGUUGUUGCUGAUGAUGUGGCUUAUCUGGACCAGCUAAAUGCUUUGAUGGGAGAGCGAAGUUGGUUUGGUCCCGGAAGUAGAGUAAUUAUUACAACAAGAGAUUCAAAUCUUCUUCGUGAAGCAGAUCAAACAUAUCGGAUCAAAGAGCGACUUUGUCGCAAAAGAAUCUUGUUGUUGCUGAUGAUGUGGCUCAUCAGGAGCAGCUAAAUGCAUUGAUGGGAGAUCGAAGAUGGUUUGGUCCCGGAAGUAGAGUAAUUAUUACAACAAGAGACUCAGAUCUUCUUCGUGACGCAGAUAAAACAUGUCAGAUCGAAGAAUUGAAACUAGAUGAGUCCCUUCAGCUUUUCAGCAGGCAUGCCUUUAAGGACACCAAGCCAGCAGAAGAUUACAUUGAGCUUUCGAAGAAAGCCGUUGGUUACUGUGGAGGACUUCCUUUAGCUCUCAAGGUUAUAGGAGCUCUUCUGUACGGGAAAGAAAAAGAUAGAUGGGAAAGUGAAAUUGACGACUUGAGCAGAAUUCCAAACCAAGAUAUUCAAAGAAAGCUUCUAAUAAGUUAUGACGCACUUGAUGGUGAACUACAAAGAGCAUUCCUUGAUAUUGCAUGCUUCUUUGUUGGUAUAGAGAAAGAAUACGUCGCACAAGUGCUAGGAGCCCGUUGCCGUCGCAAUCCAGAAGUUGUUUUGGAAACUCUCCGUGAAAGGUCUCUGAUUCAAUUUCAUGAGUGUAUAAUUGAAGAUGAAAGGCAGUUAUCUGGAAGGACGGUAGCCAUGCAUGAUCUAUUACGAGACAUGGGAAGGGAGGUCGUUUGUAAAGAGUCUCCCUUGCAUCCUGAAGCAAGGACCAGAAUUUGGAAUAAAGACGAUGCAUGGAAUGUACUUGAGCAGCACAAGGUAAGUAAGAGCUCAAUGCAUACACGAAAGCAUAGUCAUGCGUAUUUUCUAGUCAAGCUUAUUACAAAUAAUUGAAUGAAAGUUGUAUUGAUUUUUUUUUUAGGGUACGGAUAAAGUUGAGGGUCUUGCACUGGAUGUCAGAGCAUCAGAAACUAAAUCACUUAGCGCAGGAUCAUUUGCAGAAAUGAAAUGUUUAAAUUUACUCAAAAUCAACGGAGCACAUCUCACCGGAUCCUUCAAAUUGCUUUCUAAAGAGUUGAUGUGGAUUUGUUGGCAUGAAUUUCCUUUGAAAUAUUUUCCAUCUUAUUUUACUUUGGACAAUCUAGCUGUUCUUGAUAUGCCGUACAGUAACCUCAAAGAACUAUGGAAGGGAAAAAAGGUGCGAAACAUGCUACAAUCCCUAAAAUUUCUCCAGUAUGUAAUUUAUAUUUACAUGUUAUGACUUUCUAUGAUUAAUUUUCAUUAUUUUUCUCUCUAUUAUAACAGAUUCUCGACAAGCUUAAAAUUCUUAAUCUCAGUCAUUCUCAGCACCUUAUUAAAACACCAGACUUGCACAGUUCAAGUCUAGAGAAACUAAUUCUGGAAGGUUGCUCGAGUUUAGUUGAGGUGCAUCAAUCAAUUGAAAAUUUGACGAGCCUUGUUUUCUUAAAUCUGAAGGGAUGUUGGAGUCUGAAGACUCUCCCUGAAAGCAUUGACAAUGUAAAAUCUCUUGAAACUCUGAAUAUUUCUGGGUGUUCACAAGUUGAGAAAUUGCCGGAACGCAUGGGUGAUAUGGAAUUCUUAACCGAGCUGCUAGCUGAUGGGAUUGAAAAUGAGCAAUUUCUCUCUUCAAUUGGACAAUUAAAGCAUUGCAGAAGGUUAUCAUUGUGUGGAGACAGUUCGACGCCACCAAGUUCUUCUUUGAUUUCAACAGGUGUUUUGAAUUGGAAACGUUGGCUGCCAGCAUCUUUCAUUGAAUGGAUAUCAGUGAAACAUCUUGAGCUUUCUAAUAGUGGUUUGUCUGAUCGCGCAACUAACUGUGUUGAUUUCAGUGGUUUGUCCGCUCUAGAAAAAUUGACUCUAGAUGGAAACAAAUUCUCUAGCCUGCCUUCUGGGAUCGGCUUCCUUUCCGAGCUAAGGGAGUUGUCUGUUAAGGGAUGCAAAUAUCUUGUAUCAAUCCCAGAUCUUCCCUCAAGUUUAAAGAGUGUGUUUGCAUGUGAUUGCAAAUCAUUGAAAAGAGUAAGAAUACCAAGCGAGCCAAAAAAAAGACUAUUUAUAAAGCUAGAUGAAAGUCAUUCGUUAGAAGAGUUUCAGGGCAUUGAAGAUCUAAGUAAUUGUUUCUGGUAUAUUCGUGUUGAUGACCGCAGGCAUUCAACAAGUAAAUUACUGGAGCGUUGUUGAGGUACUAUUUCUUUCCGUCUCUCUUUCGCACAAAAAGAAACACACACAAUUGACACAUACAUUGAUUAAUGUCUAAAAUCUCAGCAUUCCUUGAAAUCAAUAUGUAUAUAGGCAAUAAUCAUUAUUAUUAUUAUUAUAUUUAAAAAAACAAAUAUCAUCUUUAAUAAUAUUUUUUUAUUAAAUAUUUAAAGUCUGAUUGGUUUUAUUUUUUAUUUCUUGAUUUUAUGAUAAUAUAUUUAUACAGGCAAUGUGCAACGGUCGUCACGGGUAUUUUAUUCGCCACACUCCUGGUCAGAUGCCAAAUUGGAUGAGCUACAGGGGAGAAGGACGCUCAUUGUCAUUCCAUAUACCUCCAGUCUUCCAAGGCUUAGUUGUUUGGGUUGAUAAGGAUGAUAAGGAUGCUCACAUUAUUAUUAUUAUAAGAAAUAAUAGAAAUGGUAAUCUCUUGUUUCAAUGUACGAAAUGGUAUUAUCAUCCAAAAACUGGAAGUAUAAGAUACAUAAGAAGAAGUGAAAUGGCAAUGGAAGAUUACUGUGCAGAUGACGAAUUGGAACUAUACAUUUAUUCAAAGCCAUCACCGUUGGCAAUGGCAAUGGCAAUGAAGGAUGCUGUGAUGCCUUCAUUUGAACCGUCUACACCUAAGCAAUGUGGGGUCCAUGUGAUCGUAGGAAAGUCAGAUUCAUUUGAAGAGUUGGCAGUGGGAAGAGAUGCAGUGAUGCUUCCUCAUCCUCGUUGUGGUUCGAUUACAGCGUCUACACCUAAGCAAUGGAUUGACUUUUUAUUUGCGAAGCUGCAAAACCAUAACCUCAAUUUAAGGCUUUUUGGUAAGAAUACAUAUUUCCUUUAGUUAUUUCUAUUUUAAUAUUCUAUUUAAUUUAAGAGAUUAAAUAUCAU